AAGAUAAAAUUAGAUUUUUGUUCGUUUAUUUUUGUUAUAUGUCAACAACAAAAAGCAAAGAAUAAAGGGUACUAUUUUUAUCUU